rnacentral:rRNA from 1 species
UACGUAUGGUGCAAGCGUUAUCCGGAUUUACUGGGUGUAAAGGGAGCGUAGACGGCUGUGUAAGUCUGAAGUGAAAGCCCGGGGCUCAACCCCGGGACUGCUUUGGAAACUAUGCAGCUAGAGUGUCGGAGAGGUAAGUGGAAUUCUCAGUGUAGCGGUGAAAUGCGUAGAUAUUGGGAGGAACACCAGUGGCGAAGGCGGCUUACUGGACGAUGACUGACGUUGAGGCUCGAAAGCGUGGGGAGCAAACAGG